rnacentral:antisense_RNA from 1 species
UUUGAUUGACCCGAGCCACAGCGGCCGGUCCGCCGGCCGAUCCUGUCCAUACGUCGCCAGAAGCGCUUGCGCCUC